UUAAAUUGAAGAGUUUGAUCAUGGCUCAGAUUGAACGCUGGCGGCAGGCCUAACACAUGCAAGUCGAACGGUAACAGGAAGCAGCUUGCUGCUUUGCUGACGAGUGGCGGACGGGUGAGUAAUGUCUGGGAAACUGCCCGAUGGAGGGGGAUAACUACUGGAAACGGUAGCUAAUACCGCAUAACGUCGCAAGACCAAAGAGGGGGACCUUAGGGCCUCUUGCCAUCGGAUGUGCCCAGAUGGGAUUAGCUAGUAGGUGGGGUAACGGCUCACCUAGGCGACGAUCCCUAGCUGGUCUGAGAGGAUGACCAGCCACACUGGAACUGAGACACGGUCCAGACUCCUACGGGAGGCAGCAGUGGGGAAUAUUGCACAAUGGGCGCAAGCCUGAUGCAGCCAUGCCGCGUGUAUGAAGAAGGCCUUCGGGUUGUAAAGUACUUUCAGCGGGGAGGAAGGGAGUAAAGUUAAUACCUUUGCUCAUUGACGUUACCCGCAGAAGAAGCACCGGCUAACUCCGUGCCAGCAGCCGCGGUAAU
rnacentral:rRNA from 1 species